AAUUAUGUUUCAAUUUCAGACAACAGCAUGGGCGUAUAAUGGAGUAUUGGGCUUCCUGUUCUUUGAAAAAGUACAGAACAAGACGUGUAGGAAUACUGAUUUCGUUGAGAACACCAUUUGUGGGACUUAUGGUUUAGGUGUACCUCUGUGCCCAAGCUACGGAGGUUUGUUCGUCGCAAAACUUAAAGAUCACUGGAAUCUGCAAGGAAUCAUGUACGGGGACCCCGCAGAAAGAGGACUCUGUUUCAGCAAAGAUGUUACGUACACAAGUCUAAAAAAUUACUUGGAGUGGAUCGAUGUUAAUGUUAAUAAAAAUAUUAUAUAGAAA